UUGACCUCAAAUCAGGC
rnacentral:rRNA from 2 species